GGGUCAGUAGGUUGGUCGUGCCACCGGUACGUACUGGUCUCACUGAUCCCUCCUUCCUGAAGAACCGUAAUGCCAUUAAUUUGGUGUUGCGGGGAAACAGGACUGUUACUUUGAAAAAAUUAGAGUGUUUAAAGUAAGCUAACGCUUGAAUACAUUAGCAUGGAAUAAUGAAAUAGGACGAUCGAUCCUAUUUUGUUGGUUUCUAGGAUUGACGUA
rnacentral:rRNA from 1 species